CAAUCUAUGACAAUGUUUCUGGCCAUUAGAUCUUGCAUCAAUGCUUCAGAUUGCAUCAAAAAAUUACUUCUCUUCUCCUAAUCAUGAUUGAGAAGGAUAUUAGCCAUUGAAUCACCUUUGAAAAUCAUUCUAGACCAUUGAUCAUUGCAAAUCAUCUCUUCUGUUAACCGAUAGCGAACUAGGACUGUUAGAUCUCAUCCCAGAUCGAAGCUCGACCGUCGGAUGGCACAAUGAAGCUUCAAAAUUCUUUUCUCAAUCAGAUUCAUUCCUAUCCAUUGGAUCAAAUGCCCAAGUGAAGCACAACCAUC
rnacentral:lncRNA from 1 species